GACGAACGCUGGCGGCGUGCCUAAUACAUGCAAGUCGAACGCAGUGGGGACGGGUGAGUAACACGUGGGUAACCUCCCCUCAGAGGGGAUAACACUUGGAAACAGGUGCUAAACCGAUACUGAUGGAUGGACCCGCGGUGCAUGAGCUAGUUGGUGAGGUAACGGCUCACCAAGGCCACGAUGCAUAGCCGACCGGAGGGGGUGAAAGGCCAAACUGGGACUGGGACAGGGCCCAGACUCCUACGGGAGGCAGCAGGGGGGAAUCUUCGGCAAUGGACGAAAGGCGGACCGAGCAACGCCGGGUGAGUGAAGAAGGUUUACGGAUCGUAAAACUCUGUUGUUAGGGAAGCGGAAUCUAACAAGAAAGCCACGGCGAACUACGUGCCAGCAGCCGCGUAAUAC
rnacentral:rRNA from 1 species